rnacentral:rRNA from 1 species
GACGAACGCUGGCGGCGUGCUUAACACAUGCAAGUCGAGCGAUGAAGCACCUUCGGGUGUGAAUUAGCGGCGAACGGGUGAGGAACACGUGAAGAAUCUGCCUUCAACUCUGGGAUAACUCCGGGAAACCGGGGCUAAUACCGGAUAUGAGCCUUGAUCGCAUGAUCGGGGCUGGAAAGUUUUUCGGUUGAAGAUGACCUCGCGGCCUAUCAGCUUGUUGGUGAGGUAAUGGCUCACCAAGGCGACGACGGGUAGCCGGCCUGAGCGCGCGACCGGCCACACUGGGACUGGGACACGGCCCAGACUCCUACGGGAGGCAGCAGUGGGGAAUAUUGGGCAAUGGAGGAAACUCUGACCCAGCGGCGCCGCGUGAGGGAUGAAGGCCUUCGGGUUGUAAACCUCUUUCAGUAGGGAAGAAGCGAAAGUGACGGUACCUACAGAAGAAGCACCGGCUAACUAUGUGCCAGCAGCCUCCGUAA